rnacentral:ncRNA from 2 species
CUCUUAUCUAGAGAGGCGGAGGGACUAGGCCCUGCGAUGCCCAGCAACCGGCGUGAUUUUACGCAAAGGUGCUAAUUCCUACAGAUUCAUCGGGAUCUGAAAGAUAAGGG